rnacentral:rRNA from 1 species
UACGUAGGGUGCAAGCGUUAUCCGGAAUCACUGGGCGUAAAGCGUGCGUAGGUGGGAAUUUAAGUGUGAUGUUAAAUCGUGUGGCUCAACCAUAUCGAUGCAUCGCAUACUGGGUUCCUAGAGGACGGCAGAGGCAAGUGGAAUUAGCAGUGUAGCAGUGAAAUGCGUAGAUAUUGCUAGGAACACCAAUGGCGAAGGCAGCUUGCUGGGCCCCUCCUGACACUGAGGUACGAAAGCGUGGGGAGCGAACAGG